rnacentral:rRNA from 1 species
GAUGAACGCUGGCGGCGUGCUUAACACAUGCAAGUCGAACGGAGAUAACAUUUUCGAAGCGAUUAGUUUACUAAGAGCGGAGAUGUUGCUAUCUUAGUGGCGGACGGGUGAGUAACGCGUGGGUAACCUGCCUUGCACUGGGGGAUAACACUUAGAAAUAGGUGCUAAUACCGCAUAACAGGAGAAGACGCAUGUCUUUUACUUGAAAACUCCGGUGGUGUAAGAUGGACCCGCGUCUGAUUAGCUUGUUGGCGGGGUAACGGCCCACCAAGGCGACGAUCAGUAGCCGGCCUGAGAGGGUGAACGGCCACAUUGGGACUGAGACACGGCCCAA